UGAUCUUCAGUUUAUACCGAAUAUUGACUGUCAAAAAAAAAAAUGCUAACAUUCCAAUUUUCAAUAACAGUUAACAGCAAAUACAUUAUCACAAUAACAGAUAACAAAAAAAACUAAUAGCCCAAUAACAGCUAACAAAGAAUAAGACAAUAACAGCUAACAGCAAAUAUAUUUUCAAAAUAACAGAUAACAAAGAAUUAAAUUGCCCCAUAACAGCAUAACAGUUAAACCCCUUGCCCCCCCUCAUAUUUGUGUCUUUUU
rnacentral:lncRNA from 1 species